rnacentral:rRNA from 1 species
GUACACGCUGUGACUAGCAUAUCAAUAAGCGGAGGAAAAGAAACUAACAAGGAUUCCCCUAGUAACGGCGAGUGAAGCGGGAAGAGCUCAAAUUUGAAAUCUUAAAGGGUUUCCCUUUACGAAUUGUAGUUUAAAGAAGUGUUUUCUGUUGAGGUUUUGGUAAAAGUUCUUUGGAAUAGGACAUCAUAGAGGGUGAGAAUCCCGUAUUUGACCUUUACUUUCAACUUUGUGAUACACUUUCAAAGAGUCGGAUUGUUUGGGAAUGCAGUCCAAAAUGGGUGGUAAAUUUCAUCUAAAGCUAAAUAUUGGCGAGAGACCGAUAGCGAACAAGUACCGUGAGGGAAAGAUGAAAAGAACUUUGAAAAGAGAGUUAAACAGUACGUGAAAUUGUCAAAAGGGAAGCGUUUGACACCAGUGCUGUUUUUCUGAAAAUCAAUUAAAGAACUGUUUAUGCUAAGCUGUUUAGACUUUAUCAGCUAUCUGUUUAGUUUUGAGCUUUUCUUUAAUGCACUUUUCAGUUAACAAGUCAACAUCAAUUUCUUUUGCUGUAAAAAAGCUUGAGGAAGGUGGCUUGAGAUUCGUCUUAAGUGUUUAUAGCCUCUUGCCUAUGCAGUCGGAGAGAUUGAGGUCUGCAGCGUAGAUCCUUCGGGGCUGAAUGCAUUUGUGCUAAGUUAUAGCAUUUUAUAGACAACUUGUUGACUAUGAUUUGUCUUGUAGCUUACUCGCUUAUGUUAUUUUACCUACGCUUAGGAUGUUGAUAUGCAUGACUGAUAU